UUGGCGACAUCAAUGAUCCAGUUAGGUACUCUCUCACCUGUUGAUUCUUUAAUUUCACGUCAACAACGAUCAGCCAUUAUAACUGAGGAAGGUGCUCUGCUAUGACAUGUGCUACAAAGUCAAAUGUAAAAAGUGCCAGCGUUUUACUUGGACAGGAUGUGGCCGUCACAUAGAAUUGGUUUUGGAGGAUGUCCCUACGGAUGAACGUUGUCGGUGUAAAAAGUCGGGGAAAUGUACAAUAUUAUAGCAUCCGUAAUUGUGGAUGAUGCCGAAUCUCAGUCAUAAACCUUUCAUCUACAAGUCUGGAUGAGAUAGUGAUUUACAACUCAGUACAACUUUUACAUAUGGAGUCCUACAGAUUUCCACUUCAACAGUUUGUGCCAAAGAAAAGUCAUCAACAUGUAUUUUACUUUUUCCUGAAAAAAAAAUCAAACUGAGAUAUUUUUAAAUUCAAAGCAAAUCUUUAUUUUAAUUAUAUAAUUUUUCCUUAGAGGUCAAACAAAAACAAUUCUAGACUGGUUUAAGAUUGAUCAUGAAUUCUUUUCAAUUGUUUUAUUAAUGUUAAAAAAUUAUUUUGAUCCAACUAUUAUUGUAUUUUUUAAAGAUCUGCUUGUUCAAGCACAAUAUAUGUUUGAAUUGAGUUCUAAUGUAACCUGGAGUUCAAAAGUUCAUUUUAAUGUUUGAUCAUAUUUCAAGUUUCUGUUAAAUGGAAAUGUACAUAUAACACAAUACUAUUCAUUUUAAAGUGGGUUUUUUUGGUCACUUAAAAGUAGGUUAGCAUCAAAAGUAGAGCAAAUAAAUAUUAGUUUUCUCUGGCCAUAACAAUGUAUUAAAUACCCUUACAGCAUUCAGAAUUUUACAUUUGUCAGUUUAUUUAUAAAACAAGUUUUUGAAGGGAUGUUCUAAUUUGCAACCUUUUAAACUCAAUGGUCUGUAACAGACAUACCAGUUUCGCAAUAUUUAGGCCUAAAAAAAAAAAUAGUGUGUUUAGGGUAACACUGAUGAAAAAAUUAGGUUAGGUAGGUGGGGAUUUUUUUUUAUUUAAUCUAUUUUUUUUGCCUGAAUCCUAAGAAUGUUUGUUUGUUUCAUAUUUAAAAAUGUAUUUUUUAUUGGAAAUAAGAUAAAAUUCACAGUCGGAUAAAAUCAGGCAUCUAAAAAUGGUAGGAUCGGGCCAUUUUUGUACGUUAGGUCGGGUUACCCGAAACACACAACUUUUUUUUUAGGCCUUAGACUGAAGUUGAUAUUCGAAUUUGCAGAAUUUUUUUUAUUGAUUUGCAUGUCUAUAUUUGGUUAUUUAUUUUACAAAAGAUUUGUUUGUAAAAUUGUGCUACCCUGCAUGCUUCACACCCCCCCCCCCCCACUCUGUUGUUUACACAUAAGGUCUAUUUCAAAAGCACAAAGGAAAAUUGUAUUACUAUCCAAUAUUGUGAUAUAGAAAUUAAAUGUAUAAAUUAAAUUUGUAUUUGGCAAUAAUUAUAAACACCGAAGUAAAAAGAAAGUCAUACUCUUAAGAAGGCUAUUAUGGCCAUGGCCAUUUUUAGACUCUAAUCUCCUUGAGAAGAAGAGCUCUGUACAAAGAUACAUGCAUUCUUUCUUUCCUAUAUAUUAGAUUAUGGGCAUUAUUAUCAUAUGUCAAAGUUAAAUGCAGAUCUGAUGGUUAAUUCGUUGCCCCGGGCCCCCCACCCCCACCCCCCACCCCCCCACCCCCCUUAAAUGUUAUAUCCAAUAGUUAGAUGCAUUUUCUGUUAACUUUUAUUUAUAAAGUUAGUUGUUGUUUGAUGUGCUGAAUUGUUUAAUUUCAUUUUUCCCAUCUUUGAGAGCAUUCUUUAGAUAACAUUGUUAAUAUUAUACUUGAUUUAAUAUUGGUUUGACGUUUAACGUUGAAAUUAGAUUCUUGUAGCAAUAUUACUUCCUUUACAAAUAUAUAUAUUUAUGAAAAUUUCAUGAAAGAAAUUACUAAAUAUGUCUAAUUUUACAUGUUCCUGAUUGUUAUGCACAGAUAUUACUUACAAUCUUGGGCAUUUUACAGGCUAUGUACAAUAUACAGCCAGAAUUAUACAUAUAGCAUUGUGUGUAUAUAGCCUAAUUAUGACAAAAACAUUAUUUUUUAAUCAAAAUUAUGGUUUUAAAUCAAGUUCUUUUG